GAAAUGUAUGAAGCAGAUGAGGCGCUUUACAAUGUGAGGCACCCUGAAUAUAAAAACAGAUUAAGAAGAUUGGAGAGUUAUAAAAAUAUGGCAAAGAUUAUCAGCCGUGACAUACGGCCAGGAUGUACGGCCGAGGAUAUAAAGAGGAAGAUAAAUGGCCUCCGUACUAGCUACUCCUACGAGAAAGCAACAAUGCAUAAAAGCAAAAGUGGAGCCAGUGCGCAGGCGGCGUAUACACCAUAAGUGUACUGGUUUCAAAUGCUGAAAUUUCUAGACCAGUCAACAGAGGCCGACGAGAGUAUGUGCAAUUUGGAGAGCACUGGAAGUGAACGUGCCACACCGACGUUUGAGGAAAUGUUUGCGCAUGAGAUGCAAGAGCCUGUCGCAUGUAGCGAGGCACAGCCACAGCCCCUGCGUCAAGAGUGGCCUCCCACUAAAAGGAGGAAAGUCACGCCAGACGUGGCAACUAACGUCAUGGAGGAGGCCAGCAGGACACUUCAGGCUAUGGCUGAUGCUGCCAGAACCAUGCCUGUCCAUGAAGACCGCUACAGUACCCUUGGCGCCCACAUCGCAGCAGAACUGCGUGAAAUGGAAAGGGUGGGCGGCAGGGAAUACACCACUGCCACUAUGCACAGAUAUAUGUAUGUAGAUACGUUUCAAAAGUCGUUCGGAAUGCGACGCAGAGUCGCAGUGUGGCCCCUCAAGGCGCAAAGUAACCCUGAUUUACGGGUGUCUUGUAGAAAAGCAGGGUCGAGUCUCCUGAUUUCACGUACAUAUGAACAAAUUUGUAGACAAUAUUCAUUUUCUCAUUCAUUACAGACUUGUGCAAUUUCUGUGCACAAAUGACAAUCAUCUUUUGAUGUUAACAGACGCAAUAGCAAUUUGUCACUUUUAUGAACUGAUGUGUUACACUUCAAGACAUGGACUUACAUUUUGGGGAAAUCAAUUGCUAGCAAUGAAAGUAUUCUUGGUCCAAAAAGUGUUGUAUGAAUAGUGAGUGGUGUUGCUUUUAAAUGUAGUUGUACAAAUCUUUUCUGGAAACCAAAAAGUCUUUUACUACUUCUCAAUUUAUAUUUUAACUUACGUGUUUCAUUGGUAAAAAUACUGGGUUGUACAAAAGAAAUAAUAUCACGAACACAAUACAAGGAGAAAGCAUUAUUUACACAGUGAUUGCAAGUCUGGCCGUGGUGCUGGAGUGUGUGCAGUAUACUGACACAAAAGUUUGAAAUGCUAUCCCUCCAGAUGUUAACUGUAAGUUUGGUAACAAGUCCAUUUUAAGAAGCCUCUGACCCCAUUUAUCCUGGAAAAGGUAUUUUACACUUCAGAUGUGUCUUUUAGUCGUAGAGAAAAAGCCGCAUAGAACUUAGCAAAUAUGCAUAUGAAUCAAUAUAAUGUAAGAUUGAAAACUUAUGUAGAUACGCGUUUUUUAUUUUUAAUUCUUUAUGUUUAGUUUAUGUAUAAUGUAACUGUGAUCUGGUAUGACAAUUUUCUUCUUUAUACCAUUAUUUCCCAUGUAUUGAUAUGUUUAGAAAGAGCAUACGGAUCGUCAUCUACAACUUAAAAGAAGACAUAUUCCCUAUCCUUAUGGGCUUGUCACAAAAGGAAAGAAAUAAAUAAAAAAGAAAUAAUAAGGACCCUAUAAAUGAUCAAACAA